rnacentral:rRNA from 1 species
ACUCAUGGCGGACGGGUGAGUAACGCGUAAAGAACUUGCCCUUUAGACUGGGAUAACAGAGGGAAACUUCUGAUAAUACUGGAUAAGUUAGUAUAUCGCAUGAUAUACAAAUGAAAGCUACGGCACUAAAGGAGAGCUUUGCGUCCUAUUAGCUAGUUGGUAAGGUAAGAGCUUACCAAGGCGAUGAUAGGUAGCCGGCCUGAGAGGGUGGACGGCCACAAGGGGACUGAGAUACGGCCCUUACUCCUACGGGAGGCAGCAGGG